CCUACGGGAGGCAGCAGUGAGGAAUAUUGGUCAAUGGACGAGAGUCUGAACCAGCCAAGUAGCGUGAAGGAUGACUGCCCUAUGGGUUGUAAACUUCUUUUAUAUGGGAAUAAAAUGUUCCACGUGUGGGUUUUUGUAUGUACCGUAUGAAUAGGGUUCGGCUAACUCCAGGCCAGCAGCGGCGGUAAUACGGAGGAACCGAGCGUUGUCCGGAUUGAUUGGGUUUAAAGGGAGCGUAGGUGGGUUGUUAAGUCAGUUGUGAAAGUUUGGGGCUUAACCGUAAAAUUGCAGUUGAAACUGGCAGUCUUGAGUACAGGAGAGGUGGGCGGAAUUCGUGGUGUAGCGGUGAAAUGCUUAGAUAUCACGAAGAACUCCGAUUGCGAAGGCAGCUGACUGGACUGCAACUGACACUGAGGCUCGAAAGUGUGGGUAUCAAACAGGAUUAGAUACCCCUGUAGUC
rnacentral:rRNA from 1 species